CCUUUUAUUUUGGGAGCAGAUGCUUGUUUUUUUCACUUGCAUGAGGACCAGGGUGGCUGUAAGGGGCAGAUUGGAGACCAGAGGGGUGCAGCAGGGGCAUCCAACUCAGA